UCCAAACCAGAAAUAACAACACACAGAACCAACUUUCAUUGUUUUACCUAAUAACCUUUUGGGUUCAGCAAAAUAUUACCUCAUCUCUGACAACAGGGUAGAGGACUCUGAUGUCACCAACCUCUGGAUGAUGACAUCAGGCAUUGCUGGAUUGUGACCUCACCUUCUCUCCCUGCUUAUCUUGGGGUUCCAAGGAGUUUCAAUGCCUUUUGUGCUGUCACAGGGGUUGGAGGCUGGUGUCAGAGAGCAGUGGGCUGUGACAUCACAGAGGGAUGCAUUGUGACAUUGUGCCCCUCAAUUCCAAGGAAUACUUUUGAAAACUACUUCCCAAAGUGAAUCUUUCUCCAAGCAGAUGGACUGGCAAAACCCAUAAUCUGUGAGCAGAAGACAGGAAUAUUUUUGCCUGUUGGAAAAAUGCCAUAGCAAUGUGCUCUUGACUAGGCGCACUCUUGUCCUUACCAUAAAGAAAAGACACUGAACAAAAUGAAA